AACACGUGGGUAACCUGCCCAAGAGAUCGGGAUAACACCUGGAAACAGAUGCUAAUACCGGAUAACAACAGAUGAUGCCUAUCAACUGUUUAAAAGAUGGUUCUGCUAUCACUCUUGGGAUGGGACCUGCGGUGCAUUAGCUAGUUGGUAGGGGUAACGGGCCUACCAAGGCGAUGAUGCAUAGCCGAGUUGAGAGACUGAUCGGCCACAUUGGGACUGAGACACGGCCCAAACUCCUACGGGAGGCAGCAGUAGGGAAUCUUCCACAAUGGACGCAAGUCUGAUGGAGCAACGCCGCGUGAGUGAAGAAGGUUUUCGGAUCGUAAAGCUCUGUCGUUGGUGAAGAAGGAUAGAGGUAGUAACUGGCCUUUAUUUGACGGUAAUCAACCAGAAAGUCACGGGCUAACUACGUGUCAGCAGCCGCGGUAAAU
rnacentral:rRNA from 1 species